rnacentral:rRNA from 1 species
GACGAACGCUGGCGGUGUGCUUAACACAUGCAAGUGGUGCGACGAACCAGAGCUUGCUCUUGUGCAAAGCUGCGAACGGGUGGGUAACACAUGCGUAAUCUACCCCGAUGACCGGGAGAACCCGAGGAGACUCGGGCUAAUACCGGACGUGGUACGGUGACAUCAGUCUCUUUCAUAAGGGUAGCUCCGGCUUCCUGUUAGGGAUAGGCCCGCGGUCCAUUAGCUAGUUGGUUGGGUCAAGGCCUACCAAGGCAACGAUGGGUAGAUGGUCUGAGAGGACGAUCAGCCACACUGGAACUGAGACACGGCCCAGACUCCUACGGGAGGCAGCAGUGGGGAAUCUUGCGCAAUGGGCGAAAGCGUGACGCAGCAACACCGCGUGAGUGAUGAAGGCCUUAGGGUUGUAAACCUCUGUUAGAAGGGACGAAGGUAUUUCGGUGAAUAGGCGAGAGGAUUGACGGUACCGACAGAAGAAGCCCCGGCUAACUACGUG